CUAGUGAUUCUCCACUACUUUAUGUAUCCAAAUGAAGGUUCUUACAUCGCGAUUCAUCCUAGUUUGAUUAGAAUGACAAGAAGUUGUCAUAUUCCCAAACAGGGAAACUGGGAUCACCUUAUUUGAACGUGGGAUAACUUCUUCAUCCUAACUCCUAUGAGAUUUAUUCAACUUCCUUGUGAUUCUCCACUACUCUAUGUAUCUAAAUCAAGCUUUGUACAUCGCGAUUCAUCCUGGUUUGAUUAGAAUGUCGAAGAAGUUGUCAUAUUCCCAAACAGGGAAACUGGGAUCACCUUAUUUGAAAGUGGGAUAACUACUUCAUCCUAACUCUUAUGAGAUUUAUUCAACUUCCUGGUGAUUAUACACUACUUUAUAUAUCCAAAUGACGGUUCUUACAUCGCGAUUCAUCCUGGUUUGAUUAGAAUGACGAAUAAGUUGUAAUAUUCCUAAACAAGGAAACUGGGAUCACCUUAUUUGAAAGUGGGAUAACUUCUUCAUCCUAACUCCUAUGAGAUUUAUUCAACUUCCUGGUGAAUCUACACAAAUUUAUGUAUCCAAAUGAAGGUUCUUAUACCAAGAUCCAUCCUGGUUUGAUUAGAAUGACGAAGAAGUUGUCAUAUUCCCAAACUGGGAAACUGGGAUCACCUUAUUUGAAACUUCUUCAUCCUAACUCCUAUGAGAUUUAUUCAACUUCUUGGUGAUUCUCCACUACUUUAUGUAUCCAAAUGAAGGUUCUUACAUCGCGAUUCUUCCUGGUUUGAUUAGAAUGACGAAGAAGUUGUCAUAUUCCCAAACAAGGAAACUGGGAUCACCUUAUUUGAAAGUGGGAUAACUUCUUCAUCCUAACUCCUAUGAGAUUUAUUCAACUUCGUGGUGAUUCUACACUACUUUAUGUAUCCAAAUGAAGGUUCUAACAUCGCGAUUCAUUCUGGUUUGAAUAGGAUGACGAAGAAGUAUUCAUAUUCCCAAACAGGGAAACUGGGAUCACCUUAUUUGAAAGUGGGAUAACUUUUUCAUCCUAACUCCUAUGAGAUUUAUUGAAAUUCCGGGUGAUUCUCCACUACUUUAUGUAUCCAAAUCAAAUUUUGUACAUCCCGAUUCAUCCUGGUUUGAUUAGAAUGACGAAGAAAUUGUCAUAUUCCCAAACAGGGAAACUGGGAUCACCUUAUUUGAAAGUGGGAUAACUUCUUCAUCCUAACUCCUAUGAGAUUUAUUCAACUUCCUAGUGAUUCUCCACUACUUUAUGGAUCCAAAUGAAGGUUCUUACAGCUCGAUUCAUCCUGGUUUGAUUAGAAUGACGAAUAAGUUGUAAUAUUCACAAACAGGGAAACUGGGAUCACCUUAUUUGAAAGUGGGAUAGCUUCUUCAUCCUAACUCCUAUGAGAUUUAUUCAACUUCCUGGUGAUUCUCCACUACUCUAUGUAUCUAAAUCAAGCUUUGUACAUCGCGAUUCAUCCUGGUUUGAUUAGAAUGACGAAGAAAUUAUCAUAUUCCCAAACAAGGAAACUGGGAUCACCUUAUUUGAAAUUGGGAUAACUUCUUCAUCCUAACUCCUAUGAGAUUUAUUCAACUUCCUAGUGAGGGAAACUGGGAUCACCUUAUUUGAAAGUGGGAUAACUUCUUCAUCCAAACUCCUAUGAGAUUUAUUCAACUUCCUGGUGAUUCUCCACUAUUUUUUGUAUCCAAAUGAAGGUUCUUACAUCGCGAUUCAUCCUGGUUUGAUUAGAAUGACGAAGAAGUUGUCAUAUUCCCAAACAGAGAAAAUGGGAUCACCUUAUUUGAAAGUGAGAUAACUUCUUCAUCCUAACUCCUAUGAGAUUUAUUCAACUUCCUGGUGAUUCUCCACUACUCUAUGUAUCUAAAUCAAGCUUUGUACAUCGCGAUUCAUCCUGGUUUGAUUAGAAUGUCGAAGAAAUUGUCAUAUUCCCAAACAUGGAAACUGGGAUCACCUUAUUUGAAAGUGGGAUAACUUCUUCAUCCUAACUCCUAUGAGAUUUAUUCAACUUCCUGGUGAUUCUCCACUACUUUAUGUAUCCAAAUGAAGGUUCUUACAUCGCGAUUCAUUCUGGUUUGAAUAGGAUGACGAAGAAGUAUUCAUAUUCCCAAACAGAGAAACUAGGAUCACCUUAUUUGAAAGUGGGAUAACUUCUUCAUCCUAACUCCUAUGAGAUUUAUUUGUUAACUUGAAGAAAGGAAUGGAGGAGCUAGAGGUGUUGAGUUGAGAUGGAUCUUGUACAAAGAUAGGGCAAGAGCUUUAGAGAUUGCCUAUCAAGAGUGAUGAGGAGUCUAAAGGUGUCCAGAAGUGAUCUGAUGGAUGUUCUAAGCAAGGUCAAAGUCUAGGAGAGACUUAGAAGAGUGUUGAGGAGCAAAUGGGCGAGUGUGCAAAGAUAGGGCGAGGCUGUACGGCCAUGUACGGAUCUGUACGGACCGGUACGACCCGAGAGAUCACAACUCGCCCAUUUGAGAUGUUUUGAGAUUGUGCAAAGUCCGGGACAAGAUGUGCAAGCUUAGGGCGUGAUCAGAACAUGUCAAGGAGGCUUUGUGCAAUCUUAGGGUGUUGGGAGAAGGCCCUGGUCGUUUGGAAUCAAGAAGGCAUCAAGAAGAUGCUUUGUGGAGGCAAACAACCAAUGGGAGCUUCCUUGUGUGUGAUUGGCUAGUUCUGGUCUUGGACAGGCUGUCUCUUGCUGUAAAGAGAAGGGAGCCACGACCAUGAACCUGGACAGAUGCAUGGGAAGAUUAGGAGGAGCCUAAGGAGAGCCAAUCACAAGCAAGGAGCCAGCUUGCCUUGGUUUGAAUUAAAGUGAACAGCCAACCUUAUCCUCACAACUCUUCAGAUAUUACAAGAAGACCAUCUCAUCUACACCAUCCAUUCUCUCAAGUUAAUAUUAUCCAUUAGAUUUAGGUUUCAGAUUGUGUAAACCUAUGGAGCUUAUAAAUAAGCAUGUAAUGGCGUUUUGUAAUCUCUUAAGAGAGUAUGGGGGGUUUCCCCAUCUCUUUCAUAAUUAUAAAAGUGUGUUCUUGAUCAGAUUCCCUUAAACUACCCCUUUCUUAGUCUCUAAUCUCUUAAUCUCUCAAAGUCUCUUUGUUUCUGAUUCAAGUUCAUACUAGUUUCAUCAGACCUCUUAUUCAACUAGUUCAAGACCUUAUCUUUGCCUUUAAUGGCUUUUCAUACACAUACACAGCCAGAGCUCUCAAAUCUCACAUUAUUCAAAUUCCUGGUGAUUCUCCUCUACUCUUUGUAUCUAAAUCAAGCUUUGUACAUCGCGAUUCAUCCUGGUUUGAUUAGAAUGUCGAAGAAGUUGUUAUAUUCCCAAACAGGGAAACUGGGAUCACCUUAUUUGAAAGUGGGAUAACUUCUUCAUCCUAACUCCUAUGAGAUUUGUUCAACUUUCUAGUGAUUCUCCACUACUUUAUGUAUCCAAAUGAAGGUUCUUACAUCGCGAUUCAUCCUGGUUUGAUUAGAAUGACAAGAAGUUGUCAUAUUCCUAAACAUGAAAACUGGGAUCACCUUAUUUGAACGUGGGAUAACUUCUUCAUCCUAACUCCUAUGAGAUUUAUUCAACUUCCUGGUGAUUCUCCACUACUUUAUGUAUCCAAAUGAAGGUUCUUACAUCACGAUUCAUCCUGGUUUGAUUAGAAUGACAAAGAAGUUGUCAUAUUCCCAAACAGGGAAACUGGGAUCACCUUAUUUGAAAGUGGGAUAACUUCUUCAUCCUAACUCCUAUGAGAUUUAUUCAACUUCCUGGUGAUUCUCCACUACUCUAUGUAUCUAAAUCAAGCUUUGUACAUCGCGAUUCAUCCUGGUUUGAUUAGAAUGACAAGAAGUUGUCAUAUUCCUAAACAUGAAAACUGGGAUCACCUUAUUUGAACGUGGGAUAACUUCUUCAUCCUAACUCCUAUGAGAUUUAUUCAACUUCCUGGUGAUUCUCCACUACUCUAUGUAUCUAAAUCAAGCUUUGUACAUCGCGAUUCAUCCUGGUUUGAUUAGAAUGACGAAGAAGUUGUCAUAUUCCCAAACAAGGAAACUGGGAUCACCUUAUUUGAAAGUGGGAUAACUUCUUCAUCCUAACUCCUAUAAGAUUUAUUCAACUUCCUGGUGAUUCUCCACUACUUUAUUUAUCCAAAUCAAGCUUUGUACAUCGCGAUUCAUCCUGGUUUGAUUAGAAUGACGAAGAAGUUGUCAUAUUCUCAAACAGGGAAACUGGGAUCACCUUAUUUGAAAGUAGGAUAACUUCUUCAUCCUCACUCCCAUGAGAUUUAUUCAACUUCCUGGUGAUUCUCCACUACUUUAUGUAUCCAAAUGAAGGUUCUUACAUCGCGAUUCAUCCUGGUUUGAUUAGAAUGACGAAGAAGUUGUCAUAUUCCCAAACAAGGAAACUGGGAUCACCUUAAUUGAAAGUGGGAUAACUUCUUCAUCCUAACUCCUAUGAGAUUUAUUCAACUUCCUGGUGAUUCUCCACUACUUUAUGUAUCCAAAUGAAGGUUCUUAUAUCGUGAUUCAUCCUGGUUUGAUUAGAAUGACGAAUAAGUUGUAAUAUUCCCAAACAGGAAAACUGGGAUCACCUUAUUUGAAAGUGAGAUAACUUCUUCAUCCUAACUCCUAUGAGAUUUAUUCAACUUCCUGGUGAAUCUACACAACUUUAUGUAUCCAAAUGAAGGUUCUUACAUCGCGAUUCAUCCUGGUUUGAUUAGAAUGACGAAGAAAUUAUCAUAUUCCCAAACAAGGAAACUGGGAUCACCUUAUUUGAAAGUGGGAUAACUUCUUCAUCCUAACUCCUAUGAGAUUUAUUCAACUUCCUGGUGAAUCUACACAACUUUAUGUAUCCAAAUGAAGGUUCUUACAUCGCGAUUCAUCCU
rnacentral:lncRNA from 1 species